rnacentral:tRNA from 1 species
UAGUAAUUAGUUUAAACAAAACAAAUGAUUUCGACUCAUUAGAUUGUGAUCAUUUACACAAUUACUAA